AAGAGGCGUGCGGCAGAUGCCUUAACUGCAGUCCAGGGCAAUUCCUAUGCGAAAACCAUAUCAAUUCAGUUAAUGCAGGAGGUAGAUCUCUGCACCACCGGGAAGUUUGGAAGGAUGGAACUGAUUCAUGAAUGCCAUAUCAAUUUGGUGAGUGUGUAUGGACUACACCUCACAACAUGGAUCAUGGAUAUGUGCAUGACUUUAUAGCUGUUGGUUUUUGCAUGAUUAAGGACAUCUACUGGCUCUUUGUUGGAGAUUGUUUCGAGGAGUUCCUGUAUGUCCAGCAUUUUGAGUAACCUGAAGCAAUUCAAUCCUUCUUAUGAGAAUGAUGAUGAAUGUCCUGCAUGUCCUAAGGAGAAGGGAAGUUUAUUUAUCUCCAUUGAUGCAUUGUUUGGAUGUGUCCAGAAAUGCAGUGCUGGAACUAAUGGAAAGUCCUCAAAUCAUGGAGAGGAACUGUUCAUUAACCAAGAAAAAGUGGAUGCAUUUCCAGCUAAUUACAGCAAAAGACCAAGCGGCAAGUCAACAGUGUGUAAACCGAAUGACUUUUUCUCUUACUUUGUGUGUUGUUGCUUUACUCUAACCUUUUGUUACCCAUCAGUACUCAUACCACUAGUCAACCAUUGCAAUGAGAGACCAAAAGUAACAGUCAUGUUUGUUGCUGGUAAUAAUGAUGUCAGUGUUGUAUUAUUUAAAUAUAGUACAGUUUGAAGGGUCAAUUACUGAAACUGUAUAGAUUGUCA